CCCAGCCCCCUCCCCCCAUCUUGCCUGUUUACCCGGAAACUGACACUGGUUAUGGUGAAGGAUAGGAAAAAAUUUGCGAGGGACUUCCAAGGGCAGAGAAGCGUGAAACAUCUCCCCAGAAAAUAGCUGAUUUUUAACAGCCAGUGUUGCUGCAUUGAAAAUGUGGUCAGGAGCAAUCCAGAAGUCUUAAACCAUUGCUACCAUUUGACCCACUUCUUGCAGUUUUCAAAAACACUCCGAGAAAACCCUUUAGAAGGAACGUCGGUCUGUGCAGAGGUAUUCGCAGCAGGCUGCAAGGAAUGGAAAGAGCCGAGAAACAACCCGUGCCUGACGUGAAGGGAGUGGUUAUGCGAAGCCAUCAGAGUGUGACACGCCGUAGUCUUUCGUAGUCCUUACAAAUGACACGUAGGGCAAGGCUGUACGUCUACCGGUUCAGAGGAA